rnacentral:rRNA from 1 species
AAUAUUGGGCAAUGGAGGAAACUCUGACCCAGCAACGCCGCGUGAAGGAAGAAGGUCUUCGGAUUGUAAACUUCUGUCGUAAGGGAAGAAGAAUGGCGGUACCUUACAAGAAAGCCCCGGUCAACUACGUCCCACCAGCCGCGGUAAUACGUAGGGGGCAAGGGUUGCCCGGAAUGACUGGGGGUAAAGGGAGUGUCGGCGGCAAAGCAAGUUAUAUGUGAACGCCCGUGGCUCAACCACGGAAUUGCAUAUAAAACUGCUUAGCUAGAGUGUGGGAGAGGUAAGUGGAAUUCCUAGUGUAGCGGUGGAAUGCGUAGAUAUUGGGAGGAACACCAGUGGCGAAGGCGACUUUCUGGACUUAUACUGACGCUGAGGAACGAAAGCGUGGGGAGCAAACA